UCAAGCUAAUAAGAGCGCAGGGUGGAUGCCUUGGCACUAAGAGCCGAUGAAAGACGUGAUAAGCUGCGAAAAGCUUCGGGGAGGAGCAAAUAUCCUUUGAUCCGGAGAUAUCUGAAUGGGGAAACCCGGCUGAGUAAUCCUCAGUCACUGUAUGGUAAAUACAUAGCCAUACAGAGGGAACCCGGUGAACUGAAACAUCUAAGUAGCCGGAGGAAGAGAAAGAAACAUCGAUUCCGGAAGUAGCGGCGAGCGAACCCGGAAGAGCCCAAACCAGCGUGCGUGCAUGCUGGGGUUAAGGACUGCAUAAGUGAGCCGAUCUGUUAAUGGAACUGCCUGGGAAGGCAGGCCAGAGAGGGUGAAAGCCCCGUACAUGAAAACGGUAGGCAGCGGCAGGAUCCAGAGUACCGCGAGACACGAGAAACCUUGCGGGAAGUCGGAGGGACCACCCUCCAAGGCUAAAUACUCCUUAGUGACCGAUAGCGCAUAGUACUGUGAAGGAAAGGUGAAAAGGACCCCGGGAGGGGAGUGAAAGAGAACCUGAAACCAUAUGUUUACAAGCUGUGGAACAUCUUUAUAUGAUGAACCGCGUACUUUUUGUAGAACGGUCCGGCGAGUUACGCUGGCUGGCGAGGUUAAGGGCUGAAGGCCCGGAGCCGAAGGGAAACCAAGUCUGAACAGGGCGAAAUAGUCAGUCGGAGUAGACCCGAAACCGGGUGAUCUAUCCAUGUCCAGGUUGAAGUUGCCGUAAAAGGCAAUGGAGGACCGAACCCACAUCCGUUGAAAAGGGUGGGGAUGAGGUGUGGAUAGGGGAGAAAUUCCAAUCGAACCCGGAGAUAGCUGGUUCUCCUCGAAAUAGCUUUAGGGCUAGCCCCGUAUUAGUUUAGCGGAGGUAGAGCACUGAAUUCCUAAGGGGGCGUCAAAGCUUACCAAGGGAUAUCAAACUCCGAAUGCCGCAUAAAUGAUGUACGGGAGUCAGACUGCACGAGAUAAGUUGGGCAGUCAAAAGGGAAAGAGCCCAGACCUACAGCUAAGGUCCCAAAGUGUGUGUUAAGUGGAAAAGGAUGUGGGAUUUCAGAGACAACUAGGAUGUUGGCUUAGAAGCAGCCACACAUUCAAAGAGUGCGUAAUAGCUCACUAGUCGAGAGGUCCUGCGCCGAAAAUGUCCGGGGCUGAAACACAACACCGAAGCUUAGGAAUGUAGAAAUACAUUGGUAGAGGAGCAUUCUUAAAGGAAUGAAGCAGUACCGGUAAGGAGCUGUGGACUUUUAAGAAGAGAGAAUGCCGGAAUGAGUAGCGAGAUGGAGGUGGGAAUCCUCCAGGCCGAAUAUCCAAGGUUUCCAGAGUAAAGCUGAUCUGCUCUGGGUAAGUCGGGGCCUAAGGUAAGGCUGAGAAGCGUAGCCGAUGGACAACAGGUUGAGAUUCCUGUACCGCGUAUCAUCAGAACUGUGGGGACACAGAAGGACAGCACAUCCCGGGAAUGGAAAGACCGGGGCAAGCAGGGUAGGAGUUAAGCUGGCAAAUCCGCUUAACAAUCCGAAGCUGUGAUGCGGAGCGAAUUUAAGUAGCGAAGUGUGCGAUUCCGGCUGUCAAGAAAAGCCGCUAUUGUGUGAUACGUGCCCGUACCGUAAACCGACACAGGUAGAUGAGGAGAGAAUCCUAAGGCCGGCGGGAGAAGCAUUGUUAAGGAACUCGGCAAAAUGACCCUGUAACUUCGGGAGAAAGGGUGCCUGGGAAACCAGGCCGCAGAGAAUAGGCUCAAGCAACUGUUUAGCAAAAACACAGGUCUAUGCAAAACCGUAAGGUGAGGUAUAUGGGCUGACGCCUGCCCGGUGCUGGAAGGUUAAGAGGAGGGGUUAGCGCAAGCGAAGCUCUGAAUUGAAGCCCCAGUAAACGGCGGCCGUAACUAUAACGGUCCUAAGGUAGCGAAAUUCCUUGUCGGGUAAGUUCC
rnacentral:rRNA from 1 species